GUGCUUGUUUUGGAAGCACAUUUACUAAAAGUGGAAGUACACAAAGAAGAUUAGCAUGGUUCUUGUGUGAGUAUGACAUGGAAAUUCUUCAAGCAAUCCUUAUUUUG
ensembl:snRNA U6 U6 spliceosomal RNA